rfam:Felis catus isolate Cinnamon breed Abyssinian chromosome A3, whole genome shotgun sequence.
GGAUGCGAGGGCGAUCUGGCUGCCGCAGCUGUCACCCCAUUGAUCACCAGCGCUGACUUGGCUGCUCCGGCUGGCUGAGCAGGUGUCCCCUUCCUCCCUCACUGCUCCAUGUGUGUCCCUCCUGAAGCUGUUCACUGGGCGGAAGAGGAGGACAUUCUUCAGUCAAGAGUAUACGAGUAGCUGUGCUCCCCUUCUAGAACCUCCAAACAAGCUCUCAAGGUCCAUUGGUAGAGGAAUGUUGGGUAGCCAAGCUUCCAAGACUCCAGACACACCCAAAUGAGGUGCCACAUGCCUGUGACAGUCUGUUUUCUUU